GCCUGGAUGGCUCAGUGGUUGAGCAUCUGUCUUCCACUCAGGAUGUGAUCCUGGAGUUCUGGGAUUGAGUCCUACAUCAGGCU
rnacentral:tRNA from 1 species